AGCCCAGGGCGGCUGCGCAGAGGGUUGGCCUCAGCGGCGGAGCUGGCUUCAGGUCUCAGCUUUGUCGCCGUCCAGGUCCUGUGACCUGCUCGCUCUCCU
rnacentral:miRNA from 1 species